AUAACUAAGCGGUGGAAAAGAAACCAAAUGGGAUUCCUUGAGUAACGGCGAGUGAAAGAGGAACUGUCCAGCGCCAAGUCUUGACGCCUCGAUGUGUUCAAGAGAUGCGGCGUUAAUGUGUUGGCGCAUCGUACAUUGCUCCAUGUUUCAAGUUCCCUUGACAGGGACUCCCAUAGUGGGUGCUAGGCCCAUAGAGGCGUGGAGCCGAUGUACGCCGGCCAAUGCAUUCUAGAGUCAGGUUGCUUGAGAGUGCAGCCUAAAGUCGGUGGUAAACUCCAUCUAAGACUAAAUACUACAGCGAGACCGAUAGCAAACAAGUACCGUGAGGGAAAGUUGCAAAGCACUUUGAAGAGAGAGUUAAAAAGUACGUGAAACCACUGGGAGGCAAACAGAUGGAACCACGAAGUUUGCGCCUCGGACGAUUCAAUCAUUGUUGACGGUUAAUGGCGUYGGUUUAGGAUCUUUUCGGAGAUUGAACCGGCGCCAUUUGCAAUCGGCAACAAUGAUGCAUUUCGAUCCGGGGAUGCUAAGCCACGUUCAACUUGAUGACUGGGACGGCUGUAGGUCGGGGCCCGAGAAAGGUGGCCGCCAAGUGCUUGCAUUUGGCGGUGUUAUAGUCUCGGACCGGAACCGUCGCCUAGUGUACUGGUUGAURAAAUUACUCCGAAAGGAGUCAAAUCACGCCUGCCUUGUGRCCACCUCACAURYCAUAGGUUGACUUUUUCGCAUCCUGUGGUGUGAAAAACCAGCCUAUGGUGUGGGUUGCGGUCGCAUUGCGUGGCGUGAUAGAACUGUGGCGCGAGUAGGUCGGUUUCCCUCUGACCCGUCUUGAAACACGGACCAAGGAGCCUAACAUGUACGCGAGUCGCUCGGUCUUGAAUAGGCCCGGGAGGCGUAAUGAAAGUAAAGUUAUGAGGCCUUAACCGGUCGCAAUAAUGGCCCGCUCACUUCGUUUAUUGGCGAUCGAGCGGAGCUGGAGCGUAUACGUUGGUACCCGAAAGAUGGUGAACUAUGCCUGGGCAAGACGAAGCCAGAGGAAACUCUGGUGGAGGUCUGUAGCGAUUCUGACGUGCAAAUCGAUCGUCAGACCUGGGUAUAGGGGCGAAAGACUAAUCGAACCAUCUAGUAGCUGGUUCCCUCCGAAGUUUCCCUCAGGAUAGCAGGUGCUUGUUAUGAUCAGUCUCAUCCGGUAAAGCUAAUGAUUAGAGGUCUUGGGGCUGAAACGGCCUCAACCUAUUCUCAAACUUUAAAUGGGUGAGAUGGUUGACUUUCUUGAUUGAAGCCAACCAUUUGGAUGUAAGUGCCUAGUGGGCCAUUUUUGGUAAGCAGAACUGGCGCUGUGGGAUGCUCCAAACGUCGAGAUAAGGUAUCAAAUGCGUACGCUCAUCAGACCCCAUGAAAGGUGUUGGUUGCUAUAGACAGCAGGACGGUGGCCAUGGAAGUCGGAAUCCGCUAAGGAGUGUGUAACAACUCACCUGCCGAAGCAACUAGCCCUGAAAAUGGACGAUGCUGUAGCGUGGAACCGAUACUCGACCGUAAUGAUGUUAUCUUCAAAAUACGAUGUCAUUACGAGUAGGAGGGCCGCAAUGAUGGCGUUGAAGGUGUCAGACGUGAGUCUGCCUGGAGCCGUCAUUGGUGCAGAUCUUGGUGGUAGUAGCAAAUACUCAAGUGAGAAUCUUGAGGACUAACGUGGAGAAGGGUUCCAUGUGAACAGCAGUUGGACAUGGUUCAGUCGGUCCUAAGGGAGCGGAGAAAUCCGUUGAAACGGCCCUAUUCAAUAAAUUGUUGAUUCAGGGCUGAUUUCCCGAAAGGGAAUCGGGUUAAUAUUCCCGAACUGAGAUACGGAGGUUGUACCCUCGGGUACUGAUGCGGUAACGCUAUCAAAUUCGGAGACAUCGGCGAYAGUCCUGGGAAGAGUUGUCUUUUCUCUAUAAGGUAUCGAAUCCAUGAAAACAGCUUGUCUGGAGAUAUGGACCAUGAUACCGAAGAGCUCAGCGGUUCUUGCUGAGUCCGGUGCGCUGUUGUCGGUCCUUGAAAAUCCGAAGGCGAGAUUUUACCUCCGUGCUCAGCCGUACCAAUAUCCGCAGCAGGUCUCCAAGGUUAACAGCCUCUAGUUUCUAGAAUAAUGUAGGUAAGGGAAGUCGGCAAAACUGAUCCGUAACUUCGGGAUAAGGAUUGGCUCUGAAGGAUGGGCCGGUCGGGCUGUGGUCAGAAACGAGUGAUGCGCCUGACUGGGACUGGACACCGACCUCGGUUGGAGUUCGGACCUAAGUUGGCGUCUGCUCGCGGACGGCCAUGGCUACGCCCUGGCGCCCUGUGUGCUGGGUGUCGUUUUCGGCCGGCAUUAAACAUCUGAAUCAGAACUGGCACGGACCCGGGGAAUCCGACUGUCUAAUUAAAACAAAGCAUUGCGAUGGCCGGAAAYCGGUGUUGACGCAAUGUGAUUUCUGCCCAGUGGUAUGAAUGUCAAUGUGAAGAAAUUCACUUAAGCGCUACUAAA
rnacentral:rRNA from 1 species